rnacentral:misc_RNA from 1 species
AAAAGGUUUAUUUACUUAAUAGUUUAGUAUAUUAUAAAUCAUCUUUGUAGGCCAUAUGGCAGGCUUUCAAGAAUUCAUCAAUCUUGGUAAUGAUGGUGUGAAUCUCACUUCAGCCUUUUGAAUAUUUCAUAAUCUUGAACUUAAAUCUCUAGGCAUUCAGAGACAAAUACUUAAUUUUGCAUGGAAUACAUAAAUAAUUUCUGUUAAACCUAACAUAUGAGAUAGCUUUAAAUAGAACCUAUCUUUGUCUAACAUUAAUGCCUAAAUUUUGCCACAUGUGACUUCUAGACUUAAUGGCAUGGUGGAAUG